CGACACGAACUGGCUGCUGUUCUCGCUGCCAUUUUACACGCUGCUGUAGAGUGGCUAGAUAGUCCUUUGCCCAACGAGACCAGAAGUGUUGCCGUAGGCGCUCAAUAAGUUGGUACCGGUUGAUACCAAUCUUCUCAGUCACGGGUGAUGGCAGCGAGGUUAACGGUCUACCCACAAGAAAGUGCCCAGGAGUAAGUGCGGAAAGAUCGGAUGGAUCAGCUGACAUUGCAGUAAUGGGACGCGAAUUCAUGAGAGCCUCAAUUGGUGCAAAGAGUGUAGAUAACUCGAAGGUUAAACUAGAAUUACCCGCUAUUCGUUUUAAAUGGAAUUUGGCCGUUUUGACUCCGGCCUCCUAGAUUCCCCCGAAAUGCGGUGCAUAUGCGGAUGAGAGUUUAAAUUGUAUGCCUGCUCCGCCCGCGUAGUCGCUAAUCAACCGCUCAUUUUCUCUGAACAGCCUUUUCAGUUCGUUAUUAGCACCUACAAAGUUUUUAAGUUUUCUCUCUGUGACACCUUAGCUAAUAGUUCCAGUGAAUUGUUCAACUCAGAACAAGUAAGUACACCAUUAAGUUUAGUACUCAGCCUAUUACUGUUGUUUAUACAUUUAGUACAUAAGCAAAUAUCCUUUGUAGUUUAUAUAGUUCGGAGUUAAUUUUGAAAUGGUACAACGUAAGUUGUAAUAGUUUGGAUAUUUAAACUUAUUUUUAUUUCAGGCAAGGUAGAAGAAGUAGCUUUAAGUUGGGGUCAUUCAUCUUCAGGCUUGGUCAGAAAUGAAGGACCAUGCCACCAAAGAGUAUUAUUAUAGAGAAGCCGUGGUCGAAUGCCCCUGGACGCCAUAUCAGCAGGAUUUUACUCAGAUGAUACAUGACGCCAAGUAGAUCAGAUAAUUCUCGAAUUUGUUCAAUACGGUUACUUACAUAAGUUUUAAGAGUUCUAGGUGGAGUUUUUAACUACCCUAGAACUAUAGUUGAAUCUGUCCAAAAUACUGAGCGUGAAAUACUAAGGUUUAAAGAAUGAAGGACUUUGGAAUAUAGUUUAGCACUAAGUAAAGCACCUAAAUUGUUAUUUGACUUUAGAUAAAUACAUGCACCAUAUGCUUCUUGUGAAGCAUCAGAAAAGCAAUAGACCUAUAUAUAAAUAGGAGAAGUACAGAAAAUGUAUCUAGGUAUCUGAGUGAAAUAUUCAGAUUCUUUAUAGAAUUCUUUCCAUGACCUUUUAAUAUCAGUUGGGAUUUCAUUACCCCAGUCGAUUUUAAGUAACCAAAGUUUCUGUAAUAAGAUUUUAUGUAAAAUGGUGCAAGCAAAUAAGGGACCUAAGUGAUCAAGUAUUCGGCAUGAAUUUGAUAAUAUAGAGCGUUUCGUUGUUUUAGGAGUAGAUUUAGUUUCAACUGAAUAGUGCAAAAUGUCAGGGCUAGGUGACCAUUUCAAUCCUAAAACAGAAGAUUCUUUACUGAAGUCCUGAGAUAAGCCAGUAGUAGUUAAUUCGUCAUAGUCUGAUCCAGUGUAUAGAUCAUCUGCAUGACAGUCAUGCCUAAUCGUAUUAGCAACAGUUUCAUUAGAACUCUCGGAUGCGAGCUGCACAAAACACCUUGUGCUCAAGUUAGAAUGAGUAGUAAUAGAAGGAGUAGAUCUCACACCGGUCGGGCCUGAAACGAGCCAACCCAGUUUAGAUUUUUGUAGUGUAGGUUUAUUUUUUCCUAAUUUAAUUUGUUUAGAAUCAACAAUUUCCCAGUAAACAUCAGCACCUAGCAGUAUGUCUAUUUCAGAGGGUAUAUAGUAGGUAGGAUCUGCUAGGUUUAUAGAUUUAGGAAAGUUCAAAUCAGAGGAGUCAAUAAAGGAAUUAGGCAAUGUGCCAGUAAUCUGAGGCACAACAAGACAUUUUACAUUAGUCUGAAAUAAGUUAAUCCGCGAUUUAAGUUUUAUGUUACACAUUUUAUUAGUAUUAGUCACUUUAUUAUUUAUACCAGCAAUUGAUAUGUUUGUAUUGGAACAAGACAAGUUCAUUUUUCUCUGCAAUCUUUCAGUAAUGAAUGAAGACUGACUUCCAUUGUCUAAGAGAGCUUUAACCGUAUAAUUCUCAGACUUGAGCAGUGCAUAGCAGGAUCUGCCCAGGUUUUGCCACAGAGUGUGACACAGGAUUAAACAAAGCAAUAGUAGAAGUUACCUGGGAAGAACUAGCUUCUUGAGGAGAAUUUGCAAGAGUGAUGAUUACAGUGAGUGGAGAAAUGACCAGGACGCAGACAAUUAUGACAAAGCUUAUGCUUGGAAAUUUCAUUAAAUCUAGCAUCUACAGACAUAUUCUUAAACUUUUCACAUUUAUAUAGUAAAUGAUCUUGUGAACAUA